rnacentral:rRNA from 1 species
UACAGAGGGUGCGAGCGUUAAUCGGAAUUACUGGGCGUACAGCGCGCGUAGGCGGUUUUGUAAGUCGGGUGUGAAAUCCCCAAGCUUAACUUGGGAACUGCAUUCGAGACUGCAUAGCUAGAGUAUGGGAGAGGGAAGUGGAAUUUCAGGUGUAGCGGUGAAAUGCGUAGAUAUCUGAAGGAACAUCAGUGGCGAAAGCGACUUCCUGGACCAAUACUGACGCUCAUGUGCGAAAGCGUGGGGAGCAAACAGG